GGCCGGUUAGCUCAACUGGUUAGAGCAUUGAGCUAAUAACGCAAAUGUCAUGUGUUCGAGCCCCAUACUGGCCA
rnacentral:tRNA from 1 species